rnacentral:misc_RNA from 1 species
AGGCAAGAUGCCCCGACUUUAAAAUUAAAAAGAAGAAAAAAAUACACAAAGGUUAAAAAUUCUUCUUUUGAGAUCUGUCUUUUUUCUUUAUCAAUCGAUCUGCACUGCCAAACAUCUCCUUAGGUCGAAUUGAGCUUUCAAUCCUCUCCAGUUCCGAUCCAAUUCAAAUGGCGAAAAAUGAAGAAUGUUGUUCUACUCAGCUGAUUGAUGGAGAUGGUGCAUUUAAUGCUACUGGAAUAGAACAAUUUAUCAAGGAGGUGAGAUUGGGGGAAUGUGGACUAUCAUAUGCUGUGGUCUCCAUCAUGGGCCCUCAAAGUAGUGGGAAAAGCACUCUAUUAAAUCAUUUGUUUGGUACCAACUUUAGAGAGAUGGAUGCAUUUAAAGGAAGGUCUCAAACCACUAAGGGUAUUUGGUUAGCUAGAUGUGCUGGCAUUGAACCUUGUACUCUUGUAAUGGACUUAGAGGGUACUGAUGGAAGAGAACGAGGAGAGGUGCACCUUUUUCUUUUUAAAUUUCCUUUUCCUUUGCCGAAUAACUUCAUGCAUUUCUCUAGCAUUUUCUGCUUGCUAUCGUCUUUUACAUCCAUCUUAAUGGAUAGAUUAUUUAUUUUAUUUAAUAUUUACAUAUGGUCAUAUUCCGAAAAAAAGGAAUGUGAUAUUACUGCCUUCUUAGUUUCGAAACCUUUCUUCCUCUUCUUGUUAUGUGUAAAACAUUUGGCAUUUUACAAUUAGUAAGGUAAAUGGUGGUGCUUAUGGAAGUUCGGAAUUGAACUUCUCGACAUCUAUCUUAUGUUAAUCCCUAACCAAAUCCUCCAUUGGUGUAAAAACAUAGCCUUUUAAUCAAGUUUGUUUGUUUGUUUUUUUUUU